rnacentral:rRNA from 1 species
UACGUAGGGUGCAAGCGGUUAUCGGAAUUAAUGGGCGUAAAGAGUGCGCAGGCGGUUUUGUAAGUCUGAUGUGAAAUCCCCGGGCUCAACCUGGGAAUUGCAUUGGAGACUGCAAGGCUAGAAUCUGGCAGAGGGGGGUAGAAUUCCACGUGUAGCAGUGAAAUGCGUAGAGAUGUGGAGGAACACCGAUGGCGAAGGCAGCCCCCUGGGUCAAGAUUGACGCUCAUGCACGAAAGCGUGGGGAGCAAACAGG